rnacentral:lncRNA from 1 species
CAUCGGUGAACGACAGCAACCAUCGAUUUGGUCAGGUGAUGCUGAAAUAAUCGAUUCAUUUUAUGCGUUCUCUGCAGAGAUGGGACGGAUAGAUAAGGAGAUAGAGAGAAGGAACAAGGAUCCUAGCCUUAAGAACAGGUGUGGUGCAGGAGUUUUGCCAUAUGAAUUACUAGCACCUAGCUCAGAACCUGGUGUAACAUGUAGAGGAGUACCAAAUAGUGUGUCCAUAUGAGUCAAAAGAAUGUGACUUGAAACUGUCACAUUCUAUUGCCUUAUUUAUUGGAACCAUUCUUAUAAAAU